GGUGUUUUGGUUGUGCAUAUAAAUAUGGUUUUAAAAUUUAAAAUCAGAUCAGAUUUGAAUUGGUAUAACUAAAUCUGAAAAUAAAAAACAGGGAAAACGAAGAAAACAAAAUUGAAAACAUAAAAUAAAUUAAAAAAAGAAGCCUACCUCACAUGACGGUCGACCUCUCCCUGGCCUAUUUCACUCAUCGCUCAGCCCAUGUCCCUUUGCAUUUUUUAAUCAUUUUCUUUAUUGACUAGACGUGGAUUACAUGAGCAUGACAUCAUCAAGCAAGCAAAUGGAGCUCUCCAGCCGAGCCGCAUGACCCCUUGCUCACGACCUGGUUCAAUGACAAGUAGGACCCACGUUUAGAAGCUUCUCUCCUUUGCAUGGACGUAGCAACAGACUCUGGUAGUUCCGAUUUUUUCCCUUGCACCAAAUCGUAACAAACAAAACCCGAUUCCCUGGGCGCUGGUGUAUAUAUAGGUACAGACCGUGGCCUCACGCCAUCUUCAAGCCGUCACGAACAUCUUGGAGGAGGACGGAGGGAUCAACCACCGAGAGAGCACGUAGCUUGGAGAGAGAGGGAUCCGACCGAUCGCACGACCGCCGUCGCGGAGGCCUCGUGUGCGCGCUGCUGUCAACCUGCCUCCAUGUUGUUGCUCCAAGCCAGUCAACGGCCUCUCGCGUUGCUCGUCGCUCCCAGCACGCGGCCUCGCGCCCUCGCCCAGUUUUGCUCUCCCUUCGUCGCUUUGUGGAUCUGCCAGCGUCUGGGCAUAGCGGCGCCGCCGUCCUCAGAUCAGAGGGUAGGAGAACCCGCG
rnacentral:lncRNA from 7 species